UACGGAGGGUGCAAGCGUUAUCCGGAAUUAUUGGGCGUAAAGCGCACGCAGGCGGUUUGUUAAGUCGGCUGUGAAAUCCCCGGGCUCAACCUUGGGACUGCAUUGGAUACUGGCCGACUUGAGUGUGGUAGGGGAGAGUGGAAUUCCUGGUGUAGCGGUGAAAUGCGUAGAGAUCAGGAGGAACACCGAUGGCGAAGGCGGCUCUCUGGGCGAUAACUGACGCUGAGGAGCGAAAGCGUGGGGAGCGAACAGG
rnacentral:rRNA from 1 species